AGAGGUCUUGUUUUCCUUGGGUGACCCGAUUGGAUGAAUCAAUUGGAACUCAUCUUAUUUUUAACCCUGACAUUGAAACCAUGCUCUCAUAAUGUGGCAUGUAACAGAAUUCAACAUCGUGCAGUCAGAUCACUGAAUCAAGCCUCAUGCGUGAACUUAUUACUGAGUAUAGCUCCCCCUCUCCUGGGUCGAUGUCGCCGUCUUAGUCCCAUAAUUUAAAUCAUAUUACAACAUAGAUGCAUGUACUUCAGAAAAUUUUGGCAGCAUUGUGGAUCUACAGACGGAUGGAUUUUCCUCAUUUUCAAAUAUCGAGUUGUUUCCUCAGUAAUGGAAUUACGUUCUUAAACAUUGUGUUUCCUCCUACCCUUCUCGCAAAUCAAAGAUGUUCCCGAUGGUUCCCCCGCCUAAUCUAAUACUUUGUGAUGUACACAUCUACUUCUUGAAAAUAGAAAGUGUUCGGCUGUGAUUAUGACUGACACCAUUAAAUCGCUCGGCUCUGUCAAACAUCAAACUUUGAGCACAAAGAUCAUAAUAAGAGAGGAACUUGAGCAGAUAUCAAACCACCAUGAUCAUAAAAUUGUUGGAGAUCAUUAUUACGCUGUGUCUAUGGACGUCAAUCGUUUUCUGCUCAACUACCAAUGCUAGGCCCAUGUCCUGAUGACGUCAUGUCAAUGCGCAACUUCUCUUUCGUUCAGUUUUUAGGAAUAUGGCAUGAGCAGUAUCGGUACUUUAUCAGAGGUGAGGAAGGCCACACAUGCGUUGUUUUAAGCUUGGAAAAUAAUGGCGAUGGAGCUAUCGGAAUAACUAUCUGGAACUAUGAUGAAUGUCUGGACAGAGAAACAGUAGUAAAGGGAACCGGCAAACUUGGCGGACGUGGCAGGGAUGAUGGCCGACUUCUAAUUUCAUUUUCUUAUGGUCCGGAUUUACCAUUUUGGGUGAUCGAUACAGACUACGUGACCUACGCUGCUGUGUGGGCUGUAACGAUUAUUGCUCCAUCAACUCCCGUAAGUUCAAAAAUAGAUCAGAGUAUGCGAACUGUUUUUGCUCCUAAGUAAAAUGU
rnacentral:lncRNA from 1 species